UACGAAGGGGGCUAGCGUUGUUCGGAAUUACUGGGCGUAAAGCGCACGUAGGCGGAUUGGUCAGUUAGGGGUGAAAUCCCAGGGCUCAACCCUGGAACUGCCUUUAAUACUGCCAAUCUAGAGUUCGAGAGAGGUGAGUGGAAUUCCGAGUGUAGAGGUGAAAUUCGUAGAUAUUCGGAGGAACACCAGUGGCGAAGGCGGCUCACUGGCUCGACACUGACGCUGAGGUGCGAAAGCGUGGGGAGCAAGCAGG
rnacentral:rRNA from 1 species